rnacentral:rRNA from 1 species
AACGAACGCUGGCGGCAUGCCUAACACAUGCAAGUCGAACGAUUGCCUUCGGGUGAUAGUGGCGCACGGGUGCGUAACGCGUGGGAAUCUGCCCUUAGGUUCGGAAUAACAGCUGGAAACGGCUGCUAAUACCGGAUGAUAUCGCGAGAUCAAAGAUUUUUCGCCUGAGGAUGAGCCCGCGUUGGAUUAGGUAGUUGGUGGGGUAAAGGCCUACCAAGCCGACGAUCCAUAGCUGGUCUGAGAGGAUGAUCAGCCACACUGGGACUGAGACACGGCCCAGACUCCUACGGGAGGCAGCAGUGGGGAAUAUUGGACAAUGGGCGCAAGCCUGAUCCAGCAAUGCCGCGUGAGUGAUGAAGGCCCUAGGGUUGUAAAGCUCUUUUACCCGGGAAGAUAAUGACUGUACCGGGAGAAUAAGCCCCGGCUAACUCCGUG